rnacentral:rRNA from 1 species
GACGAACGCUGGCGGCGUGCUUAACACAUGCAAGUCGAACGGAAAGGCCCUCAUCUUGGUGGGUGUGCUCGAGUGGCGAACGGGUGAGUCACACGUGGGUGAUCUGCCCUGUACUUCGGGAUAAGCUUGGGAAACUGGCUCUUAUACCGGAUAGGCCCCUGGUGUAGUGUGUCGUGGUGGAAAGAUCGUUGUUUUGGUGCGGGAUGAGCUCGCGGCCUCUGAGCUUGUUGGUGGGGUAAUGGCCUGCCAGGGCGGGGACGGGUAGCCGGCGUGGGAGGGUGGACGGCAACAGUGGGACGGAGACACGGCGCAGACGCCUACGCGAGGCAGCCGUGGGGAGGAAUGCACGAGGGGCGUAAGCCUGAGGCAGCGACGCCGAGGGGGGGAUGACGGGCGUGGGGUGGUGGACUCCUGGUGGUAAGGACGAAGCCACGGUGAUGGGGUGUGGGGGCCGGACCUGGGUAAAGAAGCACCGGCUAACUACGUG